CGGCGAUGCUUUACACAUGCAAGUCGAACGGCAGCACGGGUGCUUGCACCUGGUGGCGAGUGGCGGACGGGUGAGUAAUACAUCGGAACGUAUCCAGAAGGAGGGGGAUAACGCAUCGAAAGAUGUGCUAAUACCGCAUAUUCUCUGAGGAGGAAAGCAGGGGAUCGAAAGACCUUGCGCUUUGGGAGCGGCCGAUGUCUGAUUAGCUAGUUGGUGGGGUAAAGGCCUACCAAGGCGACGAUCAGUAGUUGGUCUGAGAGGACGACCAGCCACACUGGGACUGAGACACGGCCCAGACUCCUACGGGAGGCAGCAGUGGGGAAUUUUGGACAAUGGGCGCAAGCCUGAUCCAGCAAUGCCGCGUGAGUGAAGAAGGCCUUCGGGUUGUAAAGCUCUUUCAGUCGAGAAGAAAAGGCUGCAGUGAAUAACUGUAGUUCAUGACGGUAUCGACAGAAGAAGCACCGGCUAACUACGUG
rnacentral:rRNA from 1 species